UCGAGAAUCAUUCGCAAUGGGCGAAAGCCUGGCGGUGCGACGCCGCGUGGAGGAUGAAGGCCCUAGGGUCGUAAACUCCUGUCAUCAGGGAGUAAUGGCUCAUAUAGUAACUGAUAUGGGUCUUGAUAGUACCUGAAGAGGAAGGGACGGCAAACUUCGUGCCAGCAGCCGCGGUAAUACGAAGGUCCCAAGCGUUGUUCGGAUUUACUGGGCGUAAAGAGUCUGUAGGCGGUGGGGUAAGUCAGAUGUGAAAUCCCGGGGCUCAACCCCGGAACUGCAUCCGAUACUGCCUUACUUGAGGGUCGGAGGGGAGUCUGGAAUUCUCGGUGUAGCAGUGAAAUGCGUAGAUAUCGAGAGGAACACUAGUGGCGAAGGCGAGACUCUGGACGACAACUGACGCUGAGAGACGAAGGCCAGGGGAGCGAAAAGGAUUAGAUACCCGGGUAGUCCCUGAGCGGGCUGGCAAGGCGCAU
rnacentral:rRNA from 1 species